rnacentral:lncRNA from 1 species
CUCCUCUUGCUGAACUCCAUGAUUUUCUUCAUGGGGCCGCUUCUUGUCAUUCUUCUCCUUCUUUGUCUAUCGAUGAAUACUUUCUUCUUCUUAGGCCUAAGCAUAUUUUCGAGCUUGGGCUAGCAUCUCAUCAUAUGUAUAUAAAAAAUUUUUAAUGAGGGAGAAGAUUAGGUGGUUGCUUCUAAGUCCUCGUUUUAAGACAAACAUGACAACGGACUCAUUAGAAUUUCUAACUUCAAGUGUAGCUGCAUUGAAACAUGCCACAUAUUCAUGGAGAGAUUCACCCUCCCGCUAUUGAAUGGAGAAGACUAUCAGUGUUCUUCAGCUG